AGACGAAGGGGGCGAGCGUUAUUCGGAAUUACUGGGCGUAAAGAGCGUGUAGGUGGUUAUAUAAGUCGGUUGUUAAAGGCCACGGCCUAACUGUGGUAAGGCAAUCGAAACUGUAUGGCUAGAGGGUAGGAGAGAGAAGUGGAAUUCUUGGAGUAGCGGUAAAAUGCGUAGAUCUCAAGAGGAACACCGAUGGCGAAGGCAGUCUUUUUGGCCUAUACCUGACACUGGAGCGCGAAAGCGUGGGGAGC
rnacentral:rRNA from 1 species